rnacentral:rRNA from 1 species
ACUUACCGAGUGCCGAAGGGAAACCGUGAAACGUGCCGCCUGGGAAGUACGGUCGCAAGGCUGAAACUUAAAGGAAUUGGCGGGGGAGCACCACAACAGGUGGAGCCUGCGGUUUAAUUGGACUCAACGCCGGGAAGCUCACCGGAUAAGACAGCAAAAUGAUUGCCGGGCUGAAGACUCUGCAUGACUAGCUGAAAGGAGGUGCAUGGCA